rnacentral:rRNA from 1 species
UAUUGAACGCAUAUUGCGGCCACGGGUCCGUCCUGUGGCCACGCCCGUCUGAGGGUCGGCGACGUUGUACCCAUCGCUGGAAGGCUCUGGUCCAGCGCCUUGAGCUUUCGUAGCCUCCGAAGGGCUCCGUGGCUUGAAGUGAAGACCUGAAAGUGAAAAGAAAAGUCCUCGUACUCGAUCCUCGCAGCAGUCCUCAUGCGAGCAAAGGACAUGGCCCGGUUGAACUGUCUUUGCGAGCGAGCGAGCGAGCGAGCGAUGGAGGAUGGAUCAUACUUCCGACCUCAGAUCGGACGAGAUUACCCGCUGAAUUUAAGCAUAUCAC